UACGGGGGGAGCAAGCGUUUGUUCGGAUUUACUGGGCGUAAAGGGCUCGUAGGCGGUCCAUCGCGUCGGGAGUGAAAAGCUGGGGCUUAACCCCAGUCCUGCUUCCGAUACGGGUGGACUAGAGGUAGGUAGGGGAGAUCGGAAUUCCUGGUGUAGCGGUGAAAUGACGCAGAUAUCAGGAGGAACACCGGUGGCGAAGGCGGAUCUCUGGGCCUUACCUGACGCUGAGGAGCGAAAGCAUGGGGAGCAAACAGG
rnacentral:rRNA from 1 species